rnacentral:rRNA from 1 species
AUGUCGACAAGCAGGAAGCAAUGUUCUAUCGCAGUGUUGCUGCUGCUGGUGCUCGUCCAACUCAUCGGUGCUCUCGCUCGACCUCCAUAUAUUGAUUUACCGACACAUGUUUCGUUGUGUAACUACUGCAUAGUUACAUGGGCGAUUAUCUUCGUCCAGGAACCUGUCACUAUAACAAACCAUGAGGUGAAGCUGGAAAAUUGCGUGGAUGCUGCUUCGUUGGGUUAUAUUGCCUUACUAGAUUAUUCGGUUUCUUUAUAG